rnacentral:rRNA from 1 species
CUGAGACACGGACCAGACUCCUACGGGAGGCAGCAGUGAGGAAUAUUGGACAAUGGUCGGAAGACUGAUCCAGCCAUGCCGCGUGCAGGAAGACUGCCCUAUGGGUUGUAAACUGCUUUUAUAUGGGAAGAAUAAGAUCUACGUGUAGAUCGAUGACGGUACCAUAAGAAUAAGCACCGGCUAACUACGUGCCAGCAGCCGCGGUAA